GGGCCCAUCGUCCAACUGGCUAGGACCCUCGGCUCAUAACCGAGUUGUUGCAGGUUCGAAUCCUGCUGGGCCCA
rfam:Parcubacteria bacterium GW2011_GWC1_39_29 TT43_C0020, whole genome shotgun sequence.